GAUGAACGCUGGCGGCGUGCUUAACACAUGCAAGUCGAACGAAACACCUUAUCUGAUUUUCUUCGGAACUGAAGAUUUGGUGAUUGAGUGGCGGACGGGUGAGUAACGCGUGGGUAACCUGCCCUGUACAGGGGGAUAACAGUCAGAAAUGACUGCUAAUACCGCAUAAGACCACAGCACCGCAUGGUGCAGGGGUAAAAACUCCGGUGGUACAGGAUGGACCCGCGUCUGAUUAGCUGGUUGGUGAGGUAACGGCUCACCAAGGCGACGGUCAGUAGCCGGCUUGAGAGAGUGAACGGCCACAUUGGGACUGAGACACGGCCCAAACUCCUACGGGAGGCAGCAGUGGGGAAUAUUGCACAAUGGGGGAAACCCUGAUGCAGCGACGCCGCGUGAGUGAAGAAGUAUCUCGGUAUGUAAAGCUCUAUCAGCAGGGAAGAAAA
rnacentral:rRNA from 1 species